AUGAUGAGGUUGCCAUUUUACUAUUGGAAGACGAGUCUGAACCCUGAUGCAUCGCUGUUAUACGGCACUGAUC
rnacentral:snoRNA from 1 species